GCAUGUCAUCUUAACAAGAGGCUUGAUUUGCUGUUAACUUUAGCCACAGUGACCCUCCCAGGGAUCUUCCUCCAUGAGAUUUUGACUGGAUGGAAUCGAUGGACUUAAACUAGUCAACUAAACUAGUUCAAUAAACUAGUUAUGAUCUCACAUCAGGUACAUUUUGUUGGUUUAUAGAGAGGAAGUACUUAAUACAGCAAUGGUGGAAAGUACAGUAAAAGUGCAUUUAUUCAGGAAGUAUUUACAUUUUAUGCUAGUUUGUACUUCUACUACUAUUUCAGAGAGAAAUGUUAAAUUUUCUACUCCACCACAUUUAUUUGACUGCUAUACUAGAUAUGUUGCUAAUUAACAUUUGAAAACAUGCAUGAUACAUGAUGCCUUGUUACUCAAACAACUCAAAAGUAAUGGUGAAUGGUAAAAUACUGUAUACACAUAAUAAUAUUUUCAUAAGUGGUACUUUUCAACACAAGUUCUACAGAGCCCCUGAAGGGCCGUGGUGUAAAUUUAUUUUCUACUACUACUUUUGCAUUCCCUCUGAUCUAUAGGAACAGUCAGUGCGUUGGUCCAGUCCAGUUAUAAUACACUGCCAGUUUAAGGAAACACCUUAUAAUGCAUAUAUUGCUCAUUACUUAUUUCAAAAGGCAGAGCUUUGACAGUUUAUUGCCACUCCUGCACAGCUGCAGAUGCUCUGCCUGGCAUGCUCAGGCUACGGCUGCACCUGAAGUUGUAUCUAUGAUGCCAUGGAUGUGGCUACAGCAAAGACAGUAGCUGUACUGUGACUACUCAGCCAAGAAAGCAUAGCUAAGCUGGAUUUGAACCUGUGGUACUUUUAUCAGGUAUGACAGAUGUGUUAAAACACCACAGGAGUUCAGGAGUACAGUGGCUUCAAUGCAAAGCUCAGCCAGCACAACCAUGUCAAUUCGCUGCACACACACAACCUCUGCAUGUAGUUCCACCCUUUAUAAACUAAUUUGCUACAGCCACCACCAUAACAACCAAUGGAUGUAUUGCUACUUUUAAUCAUGCAAAGGAUCUAAAACCUUCCUCCACCACUUGAAUGUAGUAAACAUGACCAUGAGAGUAAGUGCAGGAAAUAACUUGUGAAAUAUGAAUAUGUUUCAUUUAUUUGCUAAGGUUGGUGUUAAGCUAAGCUAUCUCAUCUAUCUAUCUUCUAUUUCAAAAUCAGCAAAAGUGUUGUCUUCAACCAAAAUCACAUUUCCUUAACAAACAAUUAUGUUUUUGUUUCCUUAUUUCUAAACUCGAGCCAAAAGGUGUAGAUCUCUCCCUUUUCCCCAUCAGUGCACACCUAUCCGUCCGACCUCUCCUGCUGGCAGACCUUAACAUUUACAAGCAGGUGUGGAUCUGUGAGAAACUUUGACUGAGUGCAGAUGGCAGGAAAUUCCAGUGAAAUGACAGUGGCUCGGUCCAAACCACAAGACAGUGUGAGCAGAGCCCCUGAAUCAGAUACAGCAGGGCCGGCAGCGGCAGCAGAAGCAGCAUCUAUGGACUCGACUAGGACUUACCGGCCUGCCAGCGUCUUGAAAUAGGAGCAGCUUCACAAGACGUCUGUUAAAACGCUUCUGAGAUGAACUGAGUCUGGUGUGGUGGGUACUGACUGACUCCAGUGUGUCUUUCCAAACAAAUGUUGGGUGGUAUUCGGUCUGAGAAACCUGUGAAAAUAGAUUAUGUCUUGCA